CCAGAGGAAUAAACAGGCAAAGCCUUUUCAAGUUUCUCCAAAUGAGUCUUCUCCAAACGAGUGCCCAGGGCUUUAGUUACUGAGGCACUGCACAGCUCCUCCAUCCCAGCUUUGGAAAUCAUCCCUUGCCCUCCUAACAGAAUCUCAAAGCAAGAGCCCAAGAAGCAGUCAUGCCAUUUCCUAAUCAGUCAAGUGUGGUGGGCAGCUAGAAAAUUAGCAAUAAAUGCAGCCAAAUGCAAAAAAUAAAUUAAAAAAUAAUCUCUGUCACUUUGGACGAGUCUCCUGUUCUCUGGGUCAGGACCGAUGGUAUUUCCCCAAGGGAUUUUAUACACUAUGCACAUUUUUUGUACCUUAAGUAUACUUAUUUUAAUAUAUGAGUUGCUUCCUCUGUCCUCUGUGCAGUGUCAGUUAUUUUAAUUUAAUGGCCAGGCUUCAGUUCCUUUGCGUUUAUUGAGUAAUGCUGCAAUUUCAAGGCUUUUUACAGCAGAAGAUGUGAAUACAAGUGAAGACAUUAAUGUGAAUAACCAGAUCAGAGCACGUCCCUGAGACCACUGGACCAAAAAUACGUUUUUUUUAGUUAAAAAUAUUAAAUGCUCUUGAACAAAAGUCAUCUGAGGUGUAAUUCCACUCAUGUCCAUCAAGCCUUUCAUCAGGGAGAGCUGGACUAUGAAGUUUCCCCUAGACAAGACAGAAUGUGCAGUAGGACCACUGAGCUCCCCAUGGAGAAAACGUCAAGAGUUCUUACUCUCACUGAUCUUGUGGGUCUGCAGACUGCCUGAAUCACAAGUGCGUGUCAUGUAAACAUCCUAGCUUGAUUACUGAAGGCUCCAAGCUUUAUGAAGUCUGAAAAGCAGAAUAAAUUAUCCUGCCUGGAGUUCGUCACUACCACAACUAAGCUGCUUCCACUACCCAAGAUAAACCCUUUUUAACUAGAAUAGUUACCUCUAAAUUUUUGUACAGUUCUACCAAAAGAAAGCAUUUCUUAGUUUGCUGUUAACCUUUGCCUUUCUAUUAUCAGCGCUCUCAGAAUAAAGGUACGUGUUCAUUCUAA